rnacentral:lncRNA from 1 species
AGACUCUGAUUCUCAUAUUCAUAUGAGAUACGUAUGUAGUGGAUGCGACAUCCGUGCGAGUCAUUUUCUUUUGACCCCUCUUUUAGUAAAUAGUACAUUAGAUAAUAGACUCUGAUUCUCAUAUUCAUAUGAGAUACGUAUGUAGUGGAUGCGACAUCCGUGCGAGUCAUUUUCUUUUGACCCCUCUUUUAGUAAAUAGUACAUUAGAUAAACCCACACCCUUU